GGCUCCCCCCCAACAUCGCCAGCGUAACGCCUUGGAAAAGGCAGGAUCCCGUGUGCACAACAGCCCCUGCAACGGGUCCUUUCUGGUUUUCUGCUUUUUCCUAGCUUUCACUGGUGGUAUCGGCGAAAAGCAUACGUUGUUGGACGUAUUAGCGGUUCAAAGCGAAAUCAUCAGACGAGGAAGACCGUUCGGGGAUCCAGGAUUCCAGAAAGUAGCGCGCGGGCGAGUUCGCUGAAAAAAAGAAAGGAAGUAGGCUUUCCGGACAAGAGGCGCCUCUGCGUCUUCAUUGGCCAUCCAUACGGCCGCCAGCACAUUGUAUUCAGCAUCCUGCAAAGCCUGUCGUGCCUCGAGAACACGGGCUCACUUCAACCACAUCCUGUGUUUUCGGCCACGCCAUAUCUCAGCAAAAGGAUACACGGAGCAAAGCCGUUAGAUUGCCUGUUGGAUCCGGGAGUCCGCUGUUCGGACUCUUGCGUGGUGUACAGCGAAGCGACAACCGACCAUCGACGAUUCGUCAGCCAUGAAUACGAUUCCAUACGAGCACCAUAGCGUCAGGCGGCGUUAAUCGUCUCGCCCUUGUCAGUGCAACACCAGUAGGUUUUGGAUGUCCGGUGCCCGAGCGUGCUGGUAAACAUCCACUCACCAUCACAAUCAACAACCCGGCGGUCGAGGGAUAAUGGCGUGGAAGUAGUGAAACCGUCAAGAAAAAGCAGAACAUCUCGUGCGGCGUACGUCAGAUGGUGACCGAACAUAUGAAAACUGCCGCCGUAAUCCCUGUCACCGCAAACCAUGUUUUGCCAGCAGAGCUCUACGGAAACCGUAAUAUUUCCCCCUUAAGGAAAUACGUACUUUUGUAGAAAAGAGAAGUGCUUAGUAUACCCC